rnacentral:sRNA from 1 species
AUCGCUUCUCGGCCUUUUGGCUAAGAUCAAGUUUGGUAUCUGUUCUUAUCAGUUUAAAUAAUUCCCUCACAUUAACAUUGAGACCAUAUUAUAAAUAUGAUAGAGCUGAUCAGGACUCCCAUGGAAGGGGGAUAGGUUUGAGGACUGUCCCCUGAUGAGGUCACUCAAACCUAUU